rnacentral:rRNA from 1 species
AUUGAACGCUGGAGGCAUGCCUUACACAUGCAAGUCGAACGGAGCGGCGGACGGGUGAGUAAUGUAUCGGAAUGUGCCCAGUAGCGGGGGAUAACGUCCGGAAAGGGGCGCUAAUACCGCAUACUAUUAGAUGGGCCUAGGUCGGAUUAGCUAGUUGGUGGGGGAACGGCCUACCAAGGCGACGAUCCGUAACUGGUUUGAGAGGAUUAUCAGUCACACUGGCACUGAGAAACGGCCCAUACGCCUACGGUAGGCAGCAGUUGGGAAUAUUGGACAAUGGGCGAAAGCCUGAUCCAGCCAUCCCGCGUGUGUGAAGAAGGCCUGCGGGUUGUAAAGCACUUUCGGCAGGGAAGCGGUACCUGCAGAAUAAGCACCGGCUAACUCCGUGCCAGCAGCCGCGGUAAUAC